rnacentral:rRNA from 1 species
UCCUACGGGAGGCAGCAGUGAGGAAUAUUGGUCAAUGGGCGAGAGCCUGAACCAGCCAAGUCGCGUGAGGGACGACGGCCCUACGGGUUGUAAACCUCUUUUGCCGGGGGACAAACGGCGGCACGCGUGCCGUCCUGAGGGUACCCGGAGAAAAAGCAUCGGCUAACUCCGUGCCAGCAGCCGCGGUAAUACGGAGGAUGCGAGCGUUAUCCGGAUUUAUUGGGUUUAAAGGGUGCGCAGGCGGGAGAUCAAGUCAGCGGUAAAAUGUCGGGGCUCAACCCCGGCCGGCCGUUGAAACAG